rnacentral:rRNA from 1 species
CACUCCUACGGGAGGCAGGCAGUGGGGGAAUAUUGCACAAUGGGGGAAACCCUGAUGCAGCCAUGCCGCGUGUGUGAAGAAGGCCUUCGGGUUGUAAAGUACUUUCAGCAGUGAGGAAGGUGGGUGCGUUAAUAGCGGCAUCAUUUGACGUUAGCUGCAGAAGAAGCACCGGCUAACUCCGUGCCAGCAGCCGCGGUAAUACGGAGGGUGCGAGCGUUAAUCGGAAUUACUGGGCGUAAAGCGCAUGCAGGUGGUUUGUUAAGUCAGAUGUGAAAGCCCGGGGCUCAACCUCGGAAUUGCAUUUGAAAACUGGCAGACUAGAGUACUGUAGAGGGGGUAGAAUUUCAGGUGUAGCGGUGAAAAUGCGUAGAGAUCUGAAGGAAUACCGGUGGCGAAGGCGGCCCCCUGGACAGAUACUGACACUCAGAUGCGAAAGCGUGGGGAGCAAACAGGAUUAGAUACCCUGGUAG